rnacentral:rRNA from 1 species
UACAGAGGGUGCAAGCGUUAAUCGGAAUUAUUGGGCGUAAAGCGCACGUAGGCGGUUUUUUAAGUCAGAUGUGAAAGCCCCUGGCUCAACCUGGGAAUUGCAUUUGAAACUGGGAAACUAGAGUGUGUGUGAGGGGGGCAGAAUGCCAAGUGUAGCGGUGAAAUGCGUAGAGAUUUGGAGGAAUACCAGUGGCGAAGGCGGCCCCCUGGCACAACACUGACGCUCAGGUGCGAAAGCGUGGGGAGCAAACAGG